GGAGUCUGGACCGUGUCUCAGUUCCAAUGUGGCCGUUCAUCCUCUCAGACCGGCUACUGAUCGUCGCCUUGGUAGGCCGUUACCCCACCAACUAGCUAAUCAGACGCAGACCCAUCACAAAGCGAUAGCUUACAAGUAGAGGCCAUCUUUAAUAUCGUCUCCAUGCGGAAACAAUACAACAUUCGGUAUUAGCAGUCCUUUCGGACUGUUGUCCCCAUCUUUGCGGCAGGUUGUCUACGCGUUACUCACCCGUUUGCCACUCGACUCAUCUAAGCAAGCUUAAAAUCGUCUCGUUCGACUUGCAUGUGUUAAGCACGCCGCCAGCGUCGUCCUCGAGCCAGGAUCAAACUACU
rnacentral:rRNA from 1 species